UACGAAGGGGGCUAGCGUUGCUCGGAAUCACUGGGCGUAAAGCGCGCGUAGGCGGGCUCUUAAGUCGGGGGUGAAAUCCUGGAGCUCAACUCCAGAACUGCCUUCGAUACUGAGAGUCUCGAGUCCGGGAGAGGUGAGUGGAACUGCGAGUGUAGAGGUGAAAUUCGUAGAUAUUCGCAAGAACACCAGUGGCGAAGGCGGCUCACUGGCCCGGUACUGACGCUGAGGUGCGAAAGCGUGGGGAGCGAACAGG
rnacentral:rRNA from 1 species